rnacentral:rRNA from 1 species
GACGAACGCUGGCGGCAGGCCUAACACAUGCAAGUCGAACGAGACCUUCGGGUCUAGUGGCGCACGGGUGCGUAACGCGUGGGAAUCUACCCUUAGGUGCGGAAUAACAGUUAGAAAUGACUGCUAAUACCGCAUAAUGACUCUGGUCCAAAGAUUUAUCGCCUAAGGAUGAGCCCGCGUAAGAUUAGCUAGUUGGUGAGGUAAAAGCUCACCAAGGCGACGAUCUUUAGCUGGUCUGAGAGGACGACCAGCCACACUGGGACUGAGACACGGCCCAG